rnacentral:tRNA from 1 species
UCUCGCGGUGAGCGCACGUCAAAAUGCAAGUUUGAANAAGCACCUCAUAAAGGUGCCGGGGNUU